AGCGGAACAGGAGGAAGGGAGGACUUGUAGUAGAAGUAGGAGGAGUCUGUUUGUUGACAUCAGACGAAAACGAAAAUCAGAUGAGCGAAGACUGGUGGUAAUAACUCCGUUUCUCGCCUCUAUCAAGACCCGAAGCCUUGGCGAAAGCUAAGGUCCCCUGCACUGCCUAGUCUCGGAUCCGAGCCACAGAAGAAGAGGCUAAUAUGGCAGCCAAAGCAGGAGACAACCCAGACAGCCUCAUGACUCUGGCAACAAUAUUCUGCCUGAGGAACCUCAGAAAGACGAUGUGCUGUCAGGGUUUGGGGGAACAGCUCUGCUUGCGCUCUGACAUCUUUCUUCCCAGUGAAAUAUGUGACAAAUUGGUCAAUGUGUACAUGGAGUUAGUUCAUACAGACAGUAACUUUGAACGAGAGGAGAGCUUUUUCCAAUUAUUCUCAGAACCCUGGAGCACCAGACUUACCAGGGUGCAGCUGAAAGAAGACUUUGUCCACGACAGAGACCUAGAAGCUAUAAAAAAACAGGACCUGAUUGAGCUUCACCUCACCAACUGCCACAGUCUGUCAUCCCGCAGCUUGAAAACCCUGACCUGCUUCCGUGAGACAUUGGUCUCGCUUUGUGUCUUUGGCUGCAGCAACAUAUUCUAUAGGGAUGGUGCCGAUGAAGCUAUGGAUCCUAUUUCUGGGGAGGCAUUAGAGACAGACUUUAACUUUCAGGGGUUCAACCGCCUGCGGUUGCUCAACCUGGGUGGCCUACCAGAUGAGAUGCAUGCCGAGACCCUGCUCAAACCCUUGAAGUCGCUCACCUCACUAGAUCUGUCUCAUGUACAGUUACGACGAACAGCUUUUCUAACUCAGUGGAACGAGAGACUGGCAUCUCUUGUUCUCUACAAUGUGGACCUUUCAGAGGAGUUGGUCAAUACUGUGGUGGAACUUGUCAAUCUCAGGCAUCUUGACAUCUCACGUGAGAGUAGGAGGACCUCCAAGUUUAAGAUGACCAGGAAAAUCCUGACUGCUAUCGUUCAGCGACUGGUCAAUCUGGUUUCACUGGACAUCUCAGGUCACAUCAUGCUGGACAACUGCACAGUUCCACACUUAGAAGAAGCUAUGGGUCGGCCAAGUAACGAGCCAUGCAAGAGCAGCAUCUACCCAUUCCAAGAGCUCAAGAGGCCCUUGCAGUUUUUGGGUUUAUACGACACUACCCUUUGCCAUGUGACACACAUCCCUGCUCAUAAGGUGACUGGAUCAAAGAAUGAAGACCAGGUCCUGAAUGCUAUUGAAGCCUACACUGAGUUCCGCCCUGAAUUAGCCCACAGAGCCAUCAAUCAACUGUUUGACAUCGCCAGGAUACAACACUGCAUCCAGCUACUCCGAGCAUUGCAGCUUGUUAUAGCGGCAUUGAAGUGCCAUAAAUACGAUAAGAGCAUCCAGGUGACAGGUAGCGCUGCGCUCUUUUACCUGACAAACACAGAAUACCGCAGCGACCAAAGUGUGCGGCUUCGCCAAGAGGUCAUUCAAGUGGUUUUAAACGGAAUGGAGCAAUACCAGGAGGUCACUGUGCAAAGGAACUGCUGCUUGACUCUGUGCAACUUCAGUAUUCCUGAGGAGCUGGAGUUUCAGUAUAGGCGGGUCAACCAGCUGCUGCUGAAUAUCCUGAAGCCGGCAAGGCAGGAUGAAUCCAUCCAGAGAAUCGCUGUGCACCUCUGCAAUGCUUUAGUCUGCCAGGUUGACAACCACCAUAAGGAAGCUGUGGGAAAGAUGGGAUUUGUUAAGACAAUGUUGAACUUAAUAAGGAAGAAACUGCAAGAUCGAAUGUGUGACCAGGUGAUGGAGUUUUCUUGGAGUGCACUGUGGAAUAUUACUGAUGAGACACCAGACAACUGUCAGAUGUUCCUUAAUUGUGAUGGAAUGAGUCUCUUUUUGGACUGUCUGAAAGAGUUUCCUGACAAACAGGAGCUGCAUCGCAACAUGCUGGGGCUACUGGGUAAUGUGGCCGAAGUCAAAGCACUACGACCAAAGCUGGUCACACCGCAGUUCAUCUCUGUUUUCAGUAAUCUACUAGACAGUAAGGCCGAUGGGAUUGAGGUGUCAUACAAUGCAUGUGGCGUGCUUUCCCACAUCAUGUUUGACGGACCAGAGCUUUGGUCGAUGGAAGAGCCGUUAAGAGACACGGUGAUGGACAAGAUGUGGGAUGCGAUCCAGAGCUGGGACGUCAGCUCACGUCGCAACAUCAACUAUAGGUCAUUCGAACCCAUCUUGCGACUUCUGCCUCAAAGUAUCGCUCCUGUUAGUCAACACUGGGCUACAUGGGCUCUGUACAACCUGGUGUCAGUUUACCCAAGCAAGUACUGCCCCCUGCUCAUAAAGGAAGGAGGAAUUAGCCUUCUGGAGAGAGUUUUGGAGUUGGAAAGUUCGCAGCCUGAGACGAAGGACAUGGCCCAGGACUGUUGUAAAUCCAGCGCCACGUGAAUGUGAAACAUCAUAUUGCAAAUAUCGGCACCAUGCAGGGAACUCUUUUACCUGUGAGGAACUUUUCAGCUUCAAACAUGCUGCUGGGGCUUUGAGUUUUUCUGAAAGUGCAGCUCACAACAACUGCAGUCAUCAUAAUGUCACAAUGGAAAGUAAUGGAGCAGUGUGAGAACUUCAAAGAAGACCCCAUGGAAACAAAUCAUGCACAGGAGGUAAACUAUGGACAAAGAGGUUGACACGGCUCAGCCUCAAUAUCUGGCAAACCAACCGAAAGCUCGUCAUCCCCACAGGGGUCAAUGUGUGCAUUUUUCUUUUUAUCGUGAUUAGUUUUAUUGUGUCGGCAGAACUGUCUCUCUGACCCUUUUCACAGCAGUUUGGGCACAAACUUAACAUAUGUGACGUUUAGGGGUUAAGACGUGGGGCAUGGUGUUUUUACCUUUGCUGCUCAUAAGCAUCUCCUCUGUUGGGAUGGGGUUUGUUGGGGCGAGUGACUCUUAUCGCUCAGUAUGUGUUUUGUGAAAUAUUUCUUGAUAGAAGAUAGCAGCUGGAUUGAUGCUUGAUUCUCAGUGGAAGGAAACAGACACACUCAGCAGCACACAACCAUAACCGUGUGGCAUUGACCGUGGCGGGGGUUAAACUCGGUGAUGUGGUGUUGUCCGACACCUGCAUAAGGUGGCCACCCUCUCCCGGUAGCUCACUGAGCACAGUGAAGAUGAGCCAAUACGCAAGUAGGCUGACGUUGGCUGGAGGGGAAGACUCUGCAGAUAGACUGUUUGUUAUAUAUGUAAAUAUUGUUUGUCCCUUCCUUUUACUGUGUGUGUUUUAUAAAUAUAACUGUAAACACCUAAGGUUGUACCCUCUAUUUAAAUUGAUUUCGGUUGGGCUGGCAAAUGUUAAGUGCAUAAUCAAUCACUCAACUGUAGGUUAACAAUCUGUGGUCUAUAAAGGAUCCUGUAGCUUUAGCACAACCUCCCUGAGCGUCUGGAUUUUAGAGACGCUUACGUUACCUGUGUACGUUUUCAUUCACUUGAGGGUUGGAGGUCAAAAGUGAGCAAGCUCCCCUUUAGACAUGAAAUGUGACAGAAAUCAUUCACAAUUACUACAUUCUCUUUCGCAGUUUCACACCCGCACAACUGGCAAGUCAUGCUGCCAAGUAGUUGUUGAUGUGAAGUCUUGUGGGAUUUAGGGAACGGCUACACGGCGCUUUGCAAAGUAACCCGCCGUUACUGUACCCCAGUAUCAAUGGAUAGCAUGAAUUUGGCGAAACGACAGCAAAGAGGUUGGAGGAACCACAAUCAAGGAGGCUAUGAUUGCGUUAUAUUAUAUAAUUUAUAUGUUCAAUCUAACCUAUGUGAGUAGAAUGUACAGGUUCCUCGUUUAUACCGUCGGCACCGUAGCGUUGAUGACCUUCAUUGUCACGUAACACAUCUGUUGCCUUUUGUGUCGGCAUUCACAAAUCACACAAGGUUGUUAGAUUUCAGAUUUUUCUCUUAAAACAACUGGCAACUAAUGACAAUUAUGUUGAAUGGAUGGAACAUGUUUAUGUUGAAAGAAAUUAUUUAGUUUUACUGUUUUGUCAAAUUGCUGCUGUCACUUCAGUCAAACCAUUUUCAUAAAAAACAAAGUAUCACAAGGAAAAUCAUUUUGAAUUUGCGUUUUCUGUUAGUAAUGUAUGUAUGAUAAUUUACUCCUAUGUCUGCUAUCACAGGUUCGGGCGGCGCCCUACAUGGCUCUGGUUCUUUACAAUAUCGGUGUUUUCAACUCAAUCCACUCGAAUGGUAAUAAUUUGUUAGCAAGCUUUCCCCAAUCGUUUUGCUGUUGUCAAUGUAAAGAUUUCCUGUGCGGAUAGCUUUCAAAUAGUAAAGUUUUACAUUUUGUUCUGUCACUGAUGGGUACAGUGGUACAUACCCCCCGACUUCAGUGCGGGCAUUAAGUGACAGUGUGAGAGUAAAUGCUUGUCACUAUAUGUGCCCUGUGACUGACUGGCAACCAGUCCAGGGUGCAGCCGACCUUUUACCCAAAGUAAGCUGGGAUAGGCUUCCGCUCUCCUGUGACCCUAAAGAGGAUAAGCCCGAUAGAAAAUAGAUGUUUUGUUGUUCAUAAGUUGUCACACGUUUUUCUUUUGGCCUUAUCACCACAUUGUUUUGCCAUAGACUGUUAGGCUUUUUAUUUUUAAUCCGUUCUGACACUUCAUAAUGCUGCUUCCACAAAACCCCACAAAUAUGACCAUAACGUAAAAACUCUGUCGAACAGUAUUUCCAUGACAUACGUCCAUUGUUUAGUCAGGACAUUCCGCUGCAUUCACUUCAAAUUGCCCGGAGUCAAAAGUGAUGUCUUCCAUUAAAAGCUUAAGAAAUGCAAACCUCCGAGAAGCUUUCUGAAAAUGAGUCAGCAAAAUCUUAUUACUAUAUACGGGGCACGGAUCUACCAAAUUCUACAAAUUUUAAUGACCACCUCUAAACUUUGAAAAUACAUUUGGAAGAAACAGACUAGUGUGACUCUUGCCUUCUGUACCAUAUCAAGUUUGUGAAAUACUGUGUAUGUAGUCACAACAGAUCAAGGAAAAUAACUUGAAUCCUAGGUGAAUACAUUCACAGUAACAUUUAAUCAAUUCAUAGGAUUAUUAUAUUGUUGGAAAACUGACACCACCCAUUGUACAUUUUAAUUUUACAAAGCUUUGCAAUUAUUCCAUUCAAUUCUCUGUUCAUCAUUUCAGUGAAACGCGAAAUGUAUUAUACAACCCCAAUUCCAAUGAAGUUGGGACAUAAAUAAAAACAGAAUACAAUGAUUUGCAAAUCACGUUCAACCGAUAUUUAAUUGAAUGCACUACAAACACAAGCUAUUUAAUGUUCAAACUGAUCAACUUUUUUGUUUUUAGCAAAUAAUCAUGAACUUAGAAUUUGAUGGCUGCAACACGUUCCCAAAAAGUGGGGACAGGUGGCGAAAAAGACGGAGAAACUUGAGGAAUGCUCAUCAAACACCUGUUUGGAACAUCCCACAGGUGAACAGGCUCAUCGGGAACAGGCGGGUGCCAUGAUUGGGUAGAAAAGUGUUACAAGUGCGUGAGAAAAUAGUCCAACAGUUUAAGGACAAUGUUCCUCAAGGUACAAUUGCAAGGAAUUUAGCGAUUUCAUCAUCUACGGUCCAUAAUAUCAUUAAAAGGUUCAGAGAAUCUGGAGAAAUGACUGCAUGUAAGUGGCAAGGCCGAAAACAACAUUGAAUGCCCGUGACCUUCGAUCCCUCAGGCGGCACUGCGUCAAAAACCGACAUCAAAAGGAUUUCGCUACAUGGGCUCAGGAACACUUCAGAAAACCAAUGUCAGUAAAUGCAGUUCGCCGCUACACCCGUAAGUGCAACUUGAAACUCUACUAUGCAAAGCAAAAGCCAUUUAUCAACAACACCCAGAAACGCCGCCGGCUUCUCUGGGCCCGAGCUCAUCUAAGAUGGAUUGAUGCAAAGUGGAAAAGUGUUCUGUGGUCCGACGAGUCCACAUUUCAAAUAGUUUUUUGGAAAUUGUGGACGUCGUGUCCUCUGGACCAAAGAGGAAAAGAAACAACCGGACUGUUAUGGACACAAAGUUCAAAAGCCAGCAUCUGUGAUGGUACGGGGCUGUGUUAGUGCCAAUGGCAUGGGUAACUUACACAUCUGUGAAGGCAUCAUUAAUGCUUAAAGGUACAUACAGGUUUUGGAGAAACAUAUGCUGCCAUCCAAGCAACAUCUUCAUGGACGCCCCUGCUUAUUUCAGCAAGACAAUGCCAAACCACAUUAUGCACGCGUUUGAACAGCGUGGCUUCGUAGUAAAAGAGGGCGGGUACUGGCCUGCCAUUGAAAAUGUGUGGCGCAUUAUGAAGCGUAAAAUACGACAACGGAGACCCCGGACUGUUGAACGGCUGAACUGUACAUCAAGCAAGAAUGGGAAAUAUUUCCACCUACAGAGAUUCAACAAUUAGCGUCCUCAGUUCCCAAACGUUUAUUGAAUGUUGUUUAAAGAAAAGGUGACGUAACACAGUGGUAAACAUGAGCCUGUCCCAGUUUUUUUGAAACGUGUUGCAGCCGUAAAAUUCCAAGUUCUUGAUUAUUUGCUAAAAACAAUAAAGUUGAUCAGUUUGAACAUGAAAUAUCUUGUCUUUGUGGUGUAUUCAAUGAAAUAUAGGUUGAACAUGAUUUGCGAAUCAUUGUAUUAUGUUUUUAUUGAUGUUUAACACAACGUCCCAACUUCAUUGAAAUUGGGGUUGUAAUUGAUUUCUUUAUUAUUUUUUUAGUUAUUCUCUUGUGGAAAAGAUUAUAAAAUCUAUGAUCCUGAUAAAAAAUGUUUUUGUCAAUGGAAUACUCCCUCAAAUCCAUCAAUUUUCUAAAGCGCUCCUCCUCAUUGGGCUGUUGGUGAGCUGGAGCCUAUCCCGGUGGACUUUGGGCAAAAGGAAGCGUUCACCCUGAGCUGGUUGCUAGUCAAGUCGCAGCCCCCAUAUACCGUACAUGCAGAUGUAAAAGGAAAAAAGACAAAUGACUUUCAACUAAUGAUCAAAAGUCCAUCCAAUUUUCACAAUUUGGAAAAUCUAUACAUACAGCUCACUGGCAGGCACAAAUGGGAGUUACUCUUUAUGUGCAGCAAUGACGCAAUGCUCUCUCCUCAGAUUCCACAGCAAUCAGUCAAUAUUUGCAUUAUUGCCACUGGCACCUGAUUUAUAGUAUUUGAGCUAAUGAUCUAAUAGAAAUGCACCACAGUUUGUGUAGCAGGAACUGCUUCCAAGUAUUAACUAACCUGUAUUGCGUCACCGAGUUCUCUUCGACUUUAACCAUACAACCCCUUUGCAAAAAUGAUGGAAUCACCGCUCCUGGAGUAUGAGUAUCAUAUCGUAUCGUAUCGUAUCAUUUAAAUGCUUAAUUUUGGAGAAAAUAAGGCUCAUUUUUAUUUAAAAUAUCAUCCUCCUGGCUUUAAGAAACACAAAAGAAAAUUGUUGUCGUGAAGUCAAUGUAUUUUUAGAACAGCUUGGAGUCUCUGAGCCAUGGACUUAACAAGUGACAAAUAGUAUUCCUCCUCUGAAUGCUAUUACCAGCUCAGCUUUGCAGGCUGGAACCAUUUUCUUUCAUUUCCAGCACAGAUUUUCGAUUGCAUUUGCGGGCCAUGACGACGUCGUUAUUCAUCUUUCUUGAAGGGAGGUUUUUACGGUUAUAGCUCUAUGGCGAGAUGCAUUCUCGCCUUGAAAAAUGAUGUCAUCGCCAAACAUCCUUUCAAGUGAUGGAAUGAGAAAAGUGUUCAAAAUCUCUAUGUAAACGUGUGCAUUUAUUGAAGAUGUAAUGAGUUCCAUCUUCCCUGCGCACGCGGCCCCGUAUCACCAAGACUGUCGAAAUCGGCAUGUUUUCUUCAUAAAUCUCAUUGGAACGGCACCGAACAAAAGUUGCAGCAGCAUCACCUUGCCCCGGUGCAAAUUCACGAUUUAUCACUGAAGAUCACUUUCAUCCAGGCCCAUGAUUUCUUUCCUUUAGCACGAUUCCUUUCGUUUGGCUUUUCUGUAUGUAAACCGCAUUUCUCUUUGACGGUUUCUUACAGUUCGGUCUCAGUCGUCGACUCCACUUUUGUACUUCUUUUGUUGUGCCUUUUCUAUUCUUCAGCCAAUAUUGCCUUACGUUUUCUCUCUUAACGCUUUGAGGUCUUCCUUGGUCGAGCAGGGCACUUCCCUUUUACAAGCUUCCCAUUUUGUUUGUAAUCUAGACACUGCUGACUGCGAACAAGCAACAUCUUUUUCACCAUUCUGUGAUGUUACCUUCUUGAAGAAGUUUUAUCAUUUUGCCCUUUCUUUCAACUGACAUCUCAUCUCUUUCAGAGCCAUGAUUCAUGUCAAUCCACUUGGUGCAACAGCUCUCCAACGUCUGAGCACUCUUGUUUAACUGCUGACCAAUUAGCACAUUUAUUCUGAUGUAAGAUUACAGGAAUAUUCCAUAAUUUUUUUCUUCAGAAUUGAGCGAUUCCAUAUUUUCUUUAGUUUGUGUGUGUGCGUUUCUUAAAGCCAGAAGGAUGGAAUUUUGAAUAAAUAUUAUGUGGAACAUUCACGAUUUGCCUUUUUUUCUUUUUUCUUCUUUCUAGUAAGCAUUUAAAUGAUCAUCCUCCUGGAGCGGUGAUUCCAUACUUUUUUGCCCGGCGGGGUUGUAUGAGUGAUGCCUUUUCUGAAAGCCAUGUCAUAUCAGUUAAUGAUCCUUGUUGGGUUUACUAACUACUUUAGUCAUGUACAGUUUUAUUUUUUUUUAAUAAUUCAUGUCUGUCUAUCAUUGGUACUGGCAUUGGGACAAUAUAGUUUUUACUGAAUCACAUUCAUAGAAGCGAUGCUCUAGUUGGCAUUGAUAUGAGGAAAAAAACAAACGGGUAAUGACGAAAUGAUUCAUAUUUCUGUGUGAAAGAUUUUAUCACCGUUUACAAAUCUUAAAAAUCACAAAUGCUGAGUUUUAAUAGAGUCGAGUCUGUCUUUCCUGAUGACCAAUUAAUUAAGUUAUUUGUACUGAAAGGAGGGAAAAAUCAUUUGGGAGCCUCAAAACUAUUUUGUCAGUUUCACCAAGUCAUACAAAGCCUGCAACUGCUUUCUGCAAGUGUGAUCCAAAUUUGAGUGAAUUUGAGCCACGCACUGUGGACUUUUUUCCCUGACCUAAAUAGUACCUGGUCAUUAGUGAAAAGGUGAAUAAGCAAUAAAGAUUGAGUGGUAAACAA